rnacentral:rRNA from 1 species
UACGGAGGGAGCUAGCGUUGUUCGGAAUUACUGGACGUAAAGCGCACGUAGGCGGCUUUUUAAGUCAGGGGUGAAAUCCCGGGGCUCAACCCCGGAACUGCCUUUGAAACUGGAGAGCUAGAAUCUUGGAGAGGCGAGUGGAAUUCCGAGUGUAGAGGUGAAAUUCGUAGAUAUUCGGAAGAACACCAGUGGCGAAGGCGACUCGCUGGACAAGUAUUGACGCUGAGGUGCGAAAGCGUGGGGAGCAAACAGGG